AGCUCCAAUAGCGUAUAUUAAAGUUGUUGUGGUUAAAAAGCUCGUAGUUGGAUCUCGGCGGUCUGAGGGCGGUUCGCUUGAUUGAGUGCUACUGCUCUAUAGGCCGUGGUUUUGCCAGAGGACUCGGGGUGCUCUUAACCGAGUGUCCUGCGAUGCUGGCAGGUUUACUUUGAAAAAAUUAGAGUGCUCAAAGCAGGCUUUUACGCCUGAAUAUUCGUGCAUGGAAUAAUAGAAUAGGAUGUUUAUCUUAUUUUGUUUGUUUUCGAGACUUGACAUAAUGAUUAAUAGGGACAGUCGGGGGCAUUUGUAUUCAAACGACAGAGGUGAAAUUCUUGGACCGUUUGAAGACAAACUACUGCGAAAGCAUUUGCCAAGAAUGUUUUCA
rnacentral:rRNA from 1 species